ACAAAACUCUGCACGCUGCGGCAUCGAAGUCCUGUGUACGGGUGCACGUAUGCGCUUGGAUACGGGAUAGCCUGCCCUCAACGGAUGUUCAACAGUGUACGCACGCUGCGCGUACGCGUACGUAUGAGACUAGUUGCUGGUGUCCUGCUGGAGCUGAGAAGAGAUCUGCUGCCUGCCAUGAGGCCAUGUCUCUCAAGUUACCGCAAUAUUGUUGCCUUCAAACCUGUCGAGACAAGGUUUCUUUACAUGGCCAUGGCGCUCAAGGAAGAAAGCGAGACUGUAGACUGCCAACGUUCAUUCCUGUUCCGGCAAAGACGGGCCAGCAGUAACCAGCAGGAUUUUACAAAGUGAACUCAUCACAGCUUGAGCCACUCCAUGCCACAAGCAGUUGCUCCUCGAGCCACCGUGCAAAGGUUCCUUGGGGCACAAGUCCAACUCAGCGCCACAACCUUUCUUCUGCAGUUUUUCUACCUACUUAGCUAACCAGCAGCAAGUUUAUCCUUGCAAGGCAUGUGGGAACAGCUUUCACCAGGAAACAGUGCAAGACGAGUGGUCAAAGAAAAUAAAAUUGCUUCUGUGAUCUAAAGUACUUGACGAAUAAAAUUUUGCACUUAUUU